rnacentral:rRNA from 1 species
GCUUGUCUCAAAGAUUAAGCCAUGCAUGUCUUAGUGUAAAUAACUCUUAUGAAACUGCGAAUGGCUCAUUAAAUCAGUUAUCAAAUACGUGAUGGUCGCCUACUACAUGGAUAACCGUAGUAAUUCUAGAGCUAAUACAUGCACAAAGGCCCACUCACGUGGGUUGUGAUUAUUAGAUUCAAAACCAAUCAGUCUUCGGACUGGCGUUUUGAUGACUCUGGAUAACCAACCUAAUCGCAUGACCUUGCGUCGGCGAUGUAUCUUCCAAGUAUCUGACCUAUCAUCUGUCGAUGGUGAGUGAUAUGCUCACCAUGGAGAUAACGGGUAACGGGGAAUCAGUGUUCGAUUCCGGAGAGGGAGCCUUAGAAACGGCUACCACAUCUAAGGAAGGCAGCAGG